AGAGUUUGAUCCUGGCUCAGGACGAACGCUGGCGGCACGCUUAACACAUGCAAGUCGAACGAGAGAAGAGGAGCUUGCUUUUCUGAUCUAGUGGCGGACGGGUGAGUAACACGUGAGCAAUCUGCCUUUCAGAGGGGGAUACCGAUUGGAAACGAUCGUUAAUACCGCAUAACAUAAUUGAACCGCAUGAUUUGAUUAUCAAAGAUUUAUCGCUGAAAGAUGAGCUCGCGUCUGAUUAGCUAGUUGGUAAGGUAACGGCUUACCAAGGCGACGAUCAGUAGCCGGACUGAGAGGUUGAUCGGCCACAUUGGGACUGAGACACGGCCCAGACUCCUACGGGAGGCAGCAGUGGGGAAUAUUGCACAAUGGAGGAAACUCUGAUGCAGCGAUGCCGCGUGAGGGAAGAAGGUUUUAGGAUUGUAAACCUCUGUCUUCAGGGACGAAAAAAGACGGUACCUGAGGAGGAAGCUCCGGCUAACUACGUGCCAGCAGCCGCGGUAAUACGUAGGGAGCGAGCGUUGUCCGGAAUUACUGGGUGUAAAGGGAGCGUAGGCGGGAUCGCAAGUCAGAUGUGAAAACUAUGGGCUUAACCCAUAAACUGCAUUUGAAACUGUGGUUCUUGAGUGAAGUAGAGGUAAGCGGAAUUCCUAGUGUAGCGGUGAAAUGCGUAGAUAUUAGGAGGAACAUCAGUGGCGAAGGCGGCUUACUGGGCUUUAACUGACGCUGAGGCUCGAAAGCGUGGGGAGCAAACAGGAUUAGAUACCCUGGUAGUCCACGCCGUAAACGAUGAUUACUAGGUGUGGGGGGACUGACCCCUUCCGUGCCGCAGCAAACGCAAUAAGUAAUCCACCUGGGGAGUACGACGCAAGGUUGAAACUCAAAGGAAUUGACGGGGGCCCGCACAAGCAGUGGAGUAUGUGGAUUAAUUCGAAGCAACGCGAAGAACCUUACCAGGUCUUGACAUCGUAUGCAUAGCUCAGAGAUGAGUGAAAUCUCUUCGGAGACAUAUAGACAGGUGGUGCAUGGUUGUCGUCAGCUCGUGUCGUGAGAUGUUGGGUUAAGUCCCGCAACGAGCGCAACCCUUACUGUUAGUUGUUACGCAAGAGCACUCUAGCAGGACUGCCGUUGACAAAACGGAGGAAGGUGGGGAUGACGUCAAAUCAUCAUGCCCCUUAUGACCUGGGCCUCACACGUACUACAAUGGCUGUCAACAGAGGGAAGCAAAGCCGCGAGGUGGAGCGAACCCCUAAAAGCAGUCUUAGUUCGGAUUGUAGGCUGCAACCCGCCUACAUGAAGUCGGAAUUGCUAGUAAUCGCAGAUCAGCAUGCUGCGGUGAAUACGUUCCCGGGCCUUGUACACACCGCCCGUCACGCCAUGGGAGUCGGUAACACCCGAAGCCUGUAGUCUAACCGCAAGGAGGACGCAGUCGAAGGUGGGAUUGAUGACUGGGGUGAAGUCGUAACAAGGUA
rnacentral:rRNA from 1 species